CAGAGGUUGCGGUAAGUCUGGAUGCCACAGAGAGGACUUUGUGGUGCCUGUAGAAAUCUUCUUCAUGGAAGAUUUCUGUUUCAGAGAUCUGAGAAAGCUGUGGUCUAAGGGGCAGAGGGAACCCCAAGUACUGUCCAGCCAUAGCCACGAAACACUUGGACAUUCCGGGAUGUUUUUCUGUGCAGAGACUAUCCAGAUUUUACAUGUCCAAUGGAUGCUUUUCUUCUACCUUCUAUGGUCAGGAUUGAUGUAUUCUCCGUCCCAGGGAAGUAAAUAAGGAUGUGUGAUGUGUUUCUUUUAUAACAAUGCAUUCGACAUACCUCAUCACUGUCACCUUGUUUCUCUAGAGUGACAGAAGUUGGCUUGGAACCCCACUCCCUACCCACGAUCAUGGAAAAUUUCACAUAAGCAGAUAAGUUCCAUUACGCCAGUGGUUAUUCGAGUUCUCUGUCAUUAUCUCCAGAGGGGCAUGAUGCAAGAGAGAAAGCAUGGGUGCUAGCAGUGGUGACCUUGGUCUGAAUACUGUCUCUGACCCUUUCUGGUUGUGUGACAUUAGGCAAUGUGCUGUGACACACUGAAUUUCAUUUUCCUCAGUUGAAAAAUGAGAUUAAUAAAAUGUACCCUGCUGGCUUGUUAUGAGGAAUGGAGAAACAGCUAAAGUGCCCGGACCAGAGUGGAUGUUCAAAAAAUAAUGACAGCAACGACUGACUAUUACUAGAUUUUAGAAACAAUAAAAAUCUGACCACAGAUACUCUUCCACAAUUUUUCUAGGUGUGGCAUUCAUUGAACUAUUUGAGUAAAUGCACAUUAAUUCUUAUUUUUCUGUACUGAGGGAGGCUAUAUCUGGAAUACUUUGUAUUGAGAAACUUUAGGAAAAAAGGACAUACGAGGAAUUAACAUGUUGUGAAGGGGCCCUGUAUUGGAAUGAAGGAGAAGUGGAUUCCAGUCUGAGUUUUGCUGUAAUUAGUAGCCGCUGCCUUAUGCAACUGUGAGUAAAUCCUCUGUUUCAACAUAACAGGAGGGGAAGGAGUAGAGUGUACUUAAGCUCCUCUUCACUCAUUUAUUCCUUCAUUCUCCAAAUGAAGUAAGCAUCAUCUUGCAUUUAUUUCCUAAUUUUGCCGGGAACAGACAACUUAAAAAGUUGUAGAGUUGUAAAUAGCUAUUGCACGUCCUCUGACUUGGCUAUAGCUUAAAAAAUUUCAAAGCAAGGAAAGUCCACUUUUAAGGUUUAAAAAUUAAUAUGUAUAUAUAAAUACGUAUAUAUGUGCACGUAAUGUCAGGUCUAAAUAAGGAUCAGAAAAGAAAUAGAUCUUGGUCUAAAGGAUUAGAAUAUGAGAGGAUGGGAGGUGACACUGCUUUUUAAAAAGUGAAAGAAGAGUAAACCUUUCUGAACGGGUAACAUAUAAAAAGACAACAACAAAUUCACAACCAGCAAUUCCAUAGCAUCUUUCAGUGACUCCCCAGAGAAUUUUACAUCUAUAAUUUUUGUUCACUUAAAUAAACAAAUGUUUAUUUAGCCUUAAUGACAACCCCCCUGUCAGAGUGUAGGGUUGUAAAAGACUUCUUCCAGGAACUCUGGGUAUGGGAAUAAGAAGUGAGAAAGAUUACAAUUCCAAUAAGGAUUUAGGGACAUUAAGGGUGGAAUCUAAGGGAGCCAGCAGAGAGGCCUAAACUCAAGAGCGCCAAGUGAAGGCGUGAAAGCUCCUCCUGGGGGAAAUGGUAUGUGGGGCCCGAUUCUGAACUGAGUGUGGAAGUGUUACUAUGAAUGCCAGCUGAAGGACCUGAGGCACAGAGUGCCCGCUCAUGUCCUGUGGAUACAGGGUGAGAACUCUUAGCGAUGAGGCACGAUUCAGGAAGCAAAGGUCCCACUCCGGAUCUUAUCAGUGUAAAUUCAAACUUUUUCAGGACUCUACUACAGACAGUGCUCCUUUAAGCUUCAAAAGACUGUGGAGAAGUGAUCUCAGGAAUUACUUUAUAUGGUCAGAGCAAGGCAAUAAAAUGUAUUUAGCUUUGGUUGGAACCACACUAAUUUCAAGGUGGUGGGAAAUAGAAUAAAGCACGUGACCUUCCACGCAGUAACAUCUACUUGGUCCUCAGGCAAAAGUCUACACAUCCUAUAACCUGUGAGAACAUGGGCUCCUGAAAGAUGAGUCACUUGCCCAACUUCACAAACACACAGAUGACAGAACAAGGAUUCGGAACUAAAGAUGACCACAAACCCUGUUCUUUCCCCUGCAACCUGGAAAAUGUAGCACGAGGUAGACUUAUUCUACCAAAAACUCGGGAACUUGCUGAGCAAAGAUUUGAUGGAAACAUCAUGCAACAUGAAAGUUCCUUUUUCAGUGAGCAAAGAAAGUUGGGUCCAGGACUGCAGCUGGGGAGGAACAGAGGAGCGAAGCUUUCACUCUGAGUUUCCUUCGUCAAUCAAAGAGAUAUAUACCUGGAAAGAUCCCUCCCCAAGUCUUUCUUGGGAGCUGUUCUUGAAAACAUAUUUCUAAGGAUGGUGCCUGUCCAGUCUAAGCUGCUCUCUUCCCUGUCAUAUACUCCUGCGAACAGUAGCCUGCCUGGCAUCUUCCUGGAGGUACUGAGCACACCCAGAAGACCAUAAACUUUUUGAAAGGCCUCCUGCGCUGUAAACAUGAAUAGCAAUAGAUGCUGGGACGGAGAAGGUGUCACUCUAACAACCUAAAGAGGAAUAAACACUAAACUUUUUGCAAGCAAUUAAUAAUGACAAUCAUCAUAAAGCUGAAGAUAAACAUUGAAAAAAUACCAGGACUCCACCUUGACGAAGACUGUUCUAGCCUCUGUGACCCUGUCCUCUCUAGACAUUUAUAGUUCCCUGUGUGCCAACCAAAGUGAAUCACUUGCAUUUCCCCGUCUAUGUCUGGGAAGCAUGGAGAUUUGGUCUUAAUCCUGAGAGCUUUAUAGUUGGGCAGGCCUGGGUUUGAAUCCCCUGUCUGCACUGUGUGUGACCUGGAUAAGACACUUAAACUCCCUGUACCUCAAUUCUCUCUUGUAUAAAACGGGCAUGGUCUUCCAAGGAAGAAAAAACAGAUUUACCUAUAUUUUUUAAAACACAAUAAACCUCAUUCUAUUUUGAAAUUACCACGUGUCACCAUUCAACAGUUUUAAAAAUCCAGGACACAUUGUGGAAUUUUCAUGAUCUUAUUUUUCCUAUAUAAUGAAAAUUUUCUAUCUCAUUAACUUAGGAAUUAUCUUUUGUUACUCAUCAAUUAUUCUCAACAAACUAAAAAGUCUGAAAUAAUAAGAAAGUAGAAUAAUGAUGGAACUGCCUAGAAGGAUGAUGCAAUCGUAAAAUAAAUCAUCAUCAUUAUCCCAUCAUCAUUCAAUCUUCAUAUUGUGUUGACUAAAGUAUUACAUCAUCAUUCAAGAAGGUAUAAAAGAAAUUGGAGACAUUUUUAUGGUCUACUUUUAGUUUCACAGAACAUAAUUGAGAAUUUAGAGUUUUUAUUUUCCAUCCCAAACUGCAAAGAGAAGAAAAUUGACAGAGGAAGAUAUUGCAGUUAUUAGAUGAAUCAGAAAAUGAAUGCAAAAGACAGAUAGCAGUAUGCUAAACUUUAAUGCUUAGGGUGAAAUUGAAAGUGAUGGUUCAAGUGAAAUCUCACACUAUGAAUCUUUAGAUGACAACGAAUUUUCUCAAACUGAAGAAUCAGUGAAUGAACAAUACAUUUCAAAGGACAAAAAGGAAAUACGGUAUUCUCAUCCAGUCAGUCUUUCAACUAGAAGAUCUUUAUCAUGCAAUAUUUUGUGGCAAGAACCUGAAUCAUCUCGUUUUGUUGAAGGGUAUGUAACAGUACUCUUUCAUCUCUUAUAAAGACUGUAUAUGAAAAUUUAUGGUUUUUAAGUGCAAAAAUGCUGAAGAAAGGUGAAUGCAGGUAUCGGAAAGAAAUUGAGAGUGUAUAAAUGAAAAAUCAUUGGAUUUGUCAUCCUAAUUAAUGUUUAUAAAUAUAAGAAUAAAAAUUCUUUGCAAUUAUA